UGAGGAAUAUUGGUCAAUGGGCGAGAGCCUGAACCAGCCAAGUAGCGUGCAGGAUGACGGCCCUAUGGGUUGUAAACUGCUUUUAUGUGGGGAUAAAGUGCGUGACGUGUCAUGCAUUGCAGGUACCACAUGAAUAAGGACCGGCUAAUUCCGUGCCAGCAGCCGCGGUAAUACGGAAGGUCCGGGCGUUAUCCGGAUUUAUUGGGUUUAAAGGGAGCGUAGGCUGUCUAUUAAGCGUGUUGUGAAAUUUACCGGCUCAACCGGUGGCUUGCAGCGCGAACUGGUCGACUUGAGUAUGCAGGAAGUAGGCGGAAUUCAUGGUGUAGCGGUGAAAUGCUUAGAUAUCAUGACGAACUCCGAUUGCGCAGGUAGCUUACUGUAGCAUAACUGACGCUGAUGCUCGAAAGUGCGGGUAUCAAACAGG
rnacentral:rRNA from 1 species